rnacentral:tRNA from 1 species
UGUUCCCGCCCGGGAUCGAACCGGGGACCUUGUGCGUGUGAAGCACACGUGAUAACCGCUACACAACGGAAAC